UACGUAGGGUCCGAGCGUUGUCCGGAAUCAUUGGGCGUAAAGCGCGCGUAGGCGGCCCUGUAAGUCCGUUGUGAAAGUCAAAGGCUCAACCUUUGAAAGCCGAUGGAUACUGCAGGGCUAGAGUCCGGAAGAGGCGAGUGGAAUUCCUGGUGUAGCGGUGGAAUGCGCAGAUAUCAGGAGGAACACCAAUAGCGAAGGCAGCUCGCUGGGACGGUACUGGCGCUAAGGCGCGAAAGCGUGGGGAGCGAACAGG
rnacentral:rRNA from 1 species